rnacentral:rRNA from 1 species
AUUGAACGCUAGCGGGAUGCCUAACACAUGCAAGUCGAACGGAGUGGCGAACGGGUGAGUAAUGUAUCGGAACGUGCCCAGUAGCGGGGGAUAACUACGCGAAAGCGUAGCUAAUACCGCAUACGUGGGGAGCGGCCGAUAUCGGAUUAGCUAGUUGGUGGGGUAACGGCUCCCCAUGGCGACGAUCCGUAGCUGGUUUGAGAGGACGACCAGCCACACGGGGACUGGGACACGGCCCAGACCCCUACGGGAGGCAGAAGUGGGGAAUUUUGGACAAUGGGGGAAACCCUGAUCCAGCCCUCCCGCUUGUGCGAUGAAGGCCUCCGGGUUGUAAAGCACUUUUGGCAGGAAAGUGGUACCUGAAGAAUAAGCACCGGCUAACUACGUGCCAGCAGCCGCGGUAAUAC